rnacentral:rRNA from 1 species
UACGAAGGGUGCAAGCGUUACUCGGAAUUACUGGGCGUAAAGCGUGAGUAGGCGGUUUCUUAAGUCUGCUGUGAAAGCCCCGGGCUCAACCUGGGAAUUGCAGUGGAUACUGGGAAGCUAGAGUGCGGUAGAGGGUAGUGGAAUUCCCGGUGUAGCGGUGAAAUGCGUAGAGAUCGGGAGGAACACCAGUGGCGAAGGCGGCUGCCUGGACCAGCACUGACACUGAGUCACGAAAGCGUGGGGAGCAAACAGG